rnacentral:lncRNA from 1 species
UCUACCUUUACAGGAAAAGUUUUUUUUGAAGUGUUUAAGCAAGAAGGUUACUCGUCUACUGCAAUGUUUUCCUAUCUUUUGAUUGUUAUGUUUCAAUUCACUGCAAAUUCUUAGGGCGAUGAGGAGAAGAAAAAAGAUGGUGAAGACGAGGAGGAAGAACAAGAGCAGAAAAUUGAAGGGGAGGAAGAAGAAUUUAGUGACGACGGAGAUUACAACCAGGUACGUGGGUAAACAUUCUGCUUCCUCAAAUGGACAUCCAUAUUUAAGGAAUUUGAAUCAGAAUGCUUUAUGUUCCUCUAGUAUGAAUUAUACUUGCAUUGCUUGCCUACCUAGAUCAACAUCAUUAAGCCUCAUAGAAAAGUGUAUAUCUACACAAAGCUUAAGUAUUUUGAAACUGUUGAACAUUGGUACAUAAUCUUUAUGAUUAUGAUGAUGAUGAAGACGACUACAAUAUGAAUGAAGAUAAUAAUGGUACAGUCCUACUUGCAGUUUCUUUCUUCUUUUAUUUGAUGCAGCAUUAUUGAUUACUUCUUAUUGCCGUUCGAAUGCUUUUGAAUAAUGCUAAGGAACGUGUGUUGAAGAUGAAGGCAUGUAUUGAAGGUUGCUUGUUGGGGCGGUUUUUGCUUGCCUUAGGAAAUUUUUCGGAGAUUGAAGUCUUUAAUUAUGUUAUUGGAUUUUCUAGAAAGCUUACCUCACACACCGGCCUUGUAUACUAGCAACAACAUUUAACUUUGGGCUAUCAGUUACAACAUUUUUGCCUUCUUUUAGAAAAAUAUUUCCUAAUGUUAUAAAUCCACU